CCAGCUACUCAGGAGGCUGAGGCUGGAGAAUCUCUUGAACCCGGAAGGCGGAGGUUGCAGUGAGCCAAGAUCACGCCACUGUACUCCAGCCUGGGCAACAGAGUGAGACUCCGUCUCCCCCUCUGCCACACACACAAAAAAGAAGAAAGAUCUGGGAGAGUUUGUCUGUUUUCCAGAAGUAACUCAAUCGGACCCUUGUUCAUAUGAAAUGUUUUUCCUCCUUUUAUUUACAGCUACACGGUGUUAGGAGUAGUCGGGGGAUGCAUGGAAAAACAGGCAGGCCCUUGCUGGUAAUAGACAUGCCUAAGAAAUAGGUUCUCAAGGCCUUACUAACAAUUCUUUCUGUCCCUUUUCCCUAAUGCCACCUUCAAAUCCCAGAACCAAAUUUCAAAGGGAAGUAGAUAAAGGAUGUAUUCCCUCACCCAUGUUUUUUUUUUUUUUUUUUUUUUUUUUUUUUUUUUUUUUUUACACAUCAAGUCUCAAAGACUUGAAGUGAAUUAAUGUAUGGCUCGAACAGAUAAAAAUCACUAUUCAGCCCGAAAUCCAUUUGCAAGAUCUAACUACGGGACACUUAAAUUUACCCUCCAAGGAUUUGGAACAAGAAAUGGCAACUCAUUUGGAAAAUUAAUCUUCAUAGGCCUUCUUAGCAGCAAUCAGCAGGCAUUGAAUAAAGAAAUUUCGGUAAAGCCUGAGUUGGGGGGAGCGGUGGAUAUGGGGGCUUAACUGCCUUUGGAUUAAUGAGCACAGCUGGGAAGAGCCCCAGGCUGGACUCUAUUCAUGCUUUACAUCCAGUUUUGAAAAAGGAAGAGGCUGUCAGAGUCUUAAAGAGGGAGCUCCUAAGGGCGUCCCAGCUUUGAUGCUGCUCUAAUAACAUGGCUUUUCAGGGAGGAUUAAUAAGCAGGCUUAUGAAAGGAUCUGGCUCUCCUCUCCGAUCCGCUAAACAGGUAAUGAGGAUUUCUAGCUAUUAGAGCAAUGAUACCAGAUCGCAACUUCUAAGACAUGCACCAGCGUGAAGCCGCUCUGGAAACCGCCUGCUGAGUGGGCAGCCUUCAAAAGCCCUCUAAUCCUUGAAAAUGAACUUCAGGUCUUCUGCCCACCCACACAACAUGGACUCACUUGUCUGGAACUUAAUGUUCAGCACAUUCAACAGAAAUUUUGACAUGAAGAAAUAAUAGGCUCUCAGAUUUUUUUUUAAAAAAGAUUCUUAUUUAGAAAAAAAAUCCUCUAAUUCCAGGUGUAACCCAUUAGGAAUUAAGCUAUAAGGCCAGCCAAGUGCAGUGGUGAACACCUGUAGUCCCAGCUACUUGAGAGGCUGAAGCAGGAAGCUUGCUUGAACCCAGGAGUUGGAGGCUGCAGUGAGCUAUGAUCAUGCCUAUAAAUAGCACGACACUUCAGCCUGGGCAACAGUGAGAACUUGUCUCUAAAACAAUCAAAAAACGACAAAGGCAGCCUAAUUCAAUUUCCACUUUCCCCACCUAACAGGCUUAGGAUCACAAACUGUAAAAGUUCUCUUUGUUUUAUAGAGAUGAGAAGCUACUUGUCCUAGGCACUUAGUAAAUUAGGGACCAUGCCAGCACUAGAAUGUACCUAGGUGCUCCAAGACCUGGAUGGACUUGUUCCUUGCACAAUCUAGAAAUCUGUGAUAAAGAAUAAAUAAUACAAGGUGUCCUUAAUGAGCCCCUUCCAUAGGCAGGUAUAAUAGAACACACAAAUGAGUGGGGGGACCCCUGUAGAUUCAUCUCAAAUUAUGCAAAAUAUGAAGCCACAUGCUACUGGUGGGGGAAAAACCUGCCUGCCAUGUGCUACUGGUGGGGGAAAAACUUGCUCUUUGAGUCAGGUGCACCAGGGUUCAAGCCCUGACCCUGCACAUCUUACUAGGUGGAUGAUUUGGGGUGGGGCAGGUUAUCAGAGCUCUUGAGUCUUAGUCUCUUUAUCUGAAAAAAGCAGAGAAAACAAUGCCUAUCUAGCCAAAUGAAAAUAAAUUUAAAGAAGAUAACACUUGUAAAGCUGGUAACUUAGAUGCUCAAUUAAAGUCAAUCCCUCUCCUAAUUGCUGCUGCCUGAAUUUCUUUUUUUUUUCUUUUUCUUUUUUUUUUUUUUUUGAGAUGAAGUCUUAGUCAGCCAGGAUGGAGUGCAGUGGCUUGAUUUUGGCUCACGCAACCUCCACCUC
rnacentral:lncRNA from 10 species